GCCAAAUUAUGGCAAGAGCCUAAAUGUCCAUCAACUGAUGAAUGGAUAAAGAUGUGGUUCAUACAUACAAUGGAAUACUACUUGGCAAUGAGGAAGAAUGAAAUCAUGCCCUUUGCAGCAACAUGGAUGGAACUCGAAGGUGUGAAGUGUAAAGACCUCAAUGGUGGCAGAUGUGAGUGCUUCAAUUAACAACAGUAUAUCAAGUGGAACUGGGUACAAACAAGCAGUCACACGUGCUGCCCAGACACAUGGACUGACACGUGUUCUUGACUGGGUCAGCCAGCAGCAGCUCAUGUGAUGGCACGUACUCAUCCUUGGUUGGAGACGGCAGAGCUGCCUUUUGGGAACAGCCAAAUCUUGUUUUGAGAUAAGGGAACAAGGAUUCCACAGUGAGGGAAGAUUAAAAACAUGAAGAAGCCAAUUUCUAGAGGCUCCCACUUCCAAAGAUAAGAUAAUUUUUGAGAGAGAGACAGAGCAUGAAUGGGGGAGGAGCGGAGAGAGACGGAGACACAGAAUCUGAAGCAGGCUCCAGACUCUGAGCUGUCAGCACAAAACCUGACAUGGGGCUCGAACCCAUGAACCGUAAUUUCAUGACCUGAGCUGAAGUUGGACGCUUAGCCGACGCACUAGAGCAGAGGAAAUAAUCCUGACAAUUAGAUCACGUGAAGAAAUAAAGAAUCUAAAUAAUUGCCAUACCGCUGACUUCCCCGCAGGAGACCCUGAGCCACCUCUUAACCACUUUGCAGCCCCCUCAACCAGCUUCUGUGACUCUUCUGGUCCUAUUACUUAGCCAAGCAUCGUCCCCUGGAGGCACUAUUGUCAGCCUAACUUUUAAAGGACACUUAAAGUCUCUUCAUAUGGCUUACUGAGUCUGCAGUG